AUUGAACGCUGGCGGCAGGCCUAACACAUGCAAGUCGAGCGGAUGACGGGAGCUUGCUCCUUGAUUCAGCGGCGGACGGGUGAGUAAUGCCUAGGAAUCUGCCUGGUAGUGGGGGACAACGUUUCGAAAGGAACGCUAAUACCGCAUACGUCCUACGGGAGAAAGCAGGGGACCUUCGGGCCUUGCGCUAUCAGAUGAGCCUAGGUCGGAUUAGCUUGUUGGUGAGGUAAUGGCUCACCAAGGCGACGAUCCGUAACUGGUCUGAGAGGAUGAUCAGUCACACUGGAACUGAGACACGGUCCAGACUCCUACGGGAGGCAGCAGUGGGGAAUAUUGGACAAUGGGCGAAAGCCUGAUCCAGCCAUGCCGCGUGUGUGAAGAAGGUCUUCGGAUUGUAAAGCACUUUAAGUUGGGAGGAAGGGGUGUAGAUUAAUACUCUGCAAUUUUGACGUUACCGACAGAAUAAGCACCGGCUAACUCUGUG
rnacentral:rRNA from 1 species